ACGCGCAACACACUCCCGUGCACACACGCGCGCUCGCACACACACACUGGCAGACACACGCCCAGCACGCGUCGCCCGGGGAGGAGAUCCGAGCGCGGCCCGGGAGGGAGCCCGGGGUCCCCGGCGCCUCCUGGCUCGGGUUGACAGACGCGGGUGCUCUGGAGAAGGUGCGCCAGACGCGCCUCGGGCCGGGACGAUCCCGCGGACUCCGCUCACCUUAAUGUUGCCGAAAACCGAGCGGGCACAGCGGCCGGCUCGGCUAGAAGAGGCGUCGCUGCCCUGGGGCUCGCCGAGCUUGGAUUUUUUACCACCAGGAUUCCAAGUGCGGAGAAGAGACAGUGAGGCUUCUAAAGGGAAGGAUAAGAAGGUUCUUCCAAAAGCCGCUGCAGUGAGGAAUCCAGCUCUGGAGGCAUUUUUCCAGCUCCCUCAUUCCUGUAGUCCCGUGCAGAGGGAACCUCUCCAAGCUCACCCCAAAUUCAGGAAAAGAUGCCGUCCAUUCCCAGGAAGUUUGGCUAAGACAAAGGCAGCAGGAUAGAUGGACCACAUGGGCUUCUUAUUUCUACCCAAGACCUGAUACCUUUCUGGGCCUGGUCUGGCCUGGGUCUGGGGGAUUUUCUCCACCUGCAACCCAAGGCCCCUCCACACGGCAGCAUUCCAAAGCUGCUGAACAGUGGGUGGCCUCUGGCCGCUUCACUCAGCCACAGAGCUUAGUGCAUUCAGACAGGCUUCCCACAGCCCGGCAGCAGCCCCAGCCCUAGCCCCAGGUCAGGCAUGAACUCCAGGUCCCAUCUGUCCACUGGGAGAACAUGGAACACAAGGACAGGUACCAGCAUGGAGCACUUGGUAUGUGCUAGGCGUGCCAGGCUCUCUGCUGAGCACCCACAUGCAUAAUUUCAUGAAGCCCCAACAUUAGCCCUAGAGGUCUAGGUGCUGUUACAGUCUGGACUCCACAGAAAAGGGUGCUAGAGUGGUCUGCUGAAAAAGCUGUCUGGAAGCCACACAGCUAGCAAGUGGUGGAGCUGGACCCUGAAUUCAGCCUUGCCUGACUCCAAAGCCCAGACCGGAAGUACUAUGCCUUCUGAUCAGUUGUCUGGUCCAACAGCUCCAUUUUGCAAGUUGAACUGAGCAGGGACCAGAAAACCCCCAGGCCAAGGUCACAGGCACCUUAGGGCUACCAUGGCUGGAGCUUCUUUCUCAAACUCUGAGGCCAAACUAUGAUCCUCUGGUAGAACCCCUGUGAGGAUCGGCCUCUCCAGCCCUCACCUAGUCCUGUUCUGUUAACCUGGCCCUCUGCCUCCCAUCAGUGCCAGCAUCAUCUCCAAAGGAAAAGCCUAUUCAGAAAUGCUCACAGAUGCUUAUCUUCCUUCAUUGACCUUUACUAGGUGGAGUUCAGCUAAAUGUAAUGGAGAGCCAACCAAAAUGACUUAAAUGAGAUUUAUUGGUCUCUCAUAAUAAGAAGGCUGCUAGUAGGUAGUCCAGGGGUCAGGACCCAGGCCUUUCAAGAUUCCUUAGCCUGCGGUUCCCAUCCCCAUGUCUGGCUCAUUGUCACAGGAUGGCUGCUCCAUCUCCAGCCUCCUCUCCUAAUUCCAGGAAAGAUGCAGAAGACAGGAAACAGGAAGGAGCCACGCUUACAUCAAGGGGGCAAAUCUCUCCCUUGCAUGCACAGCUGUUUUCCUUAAGUCUUGUUGGCCAAACCUGGGUCACAUAGCUAUCCCCUGCAAAGGAUGCUAAGAAGUACAGUUAACACUAUUGCUGUCCUCUGAACACAACUGGGAUUUUAUUAGAGAAAAGGGCAAAAAUAGUAGUGUUUUACAUUUUCAACACCUACAAAUGAAGUAACCCAUUUCCUUUCAAGAGCACCCCCAGACUUUCCACUUUCCAUCCUUAAAUUUCAGCAAAUAUUUCCUAACUCUGAAAAAA